rnacentral:tRNA from 1 species
GGAGACGUAUCGAAGUGGUCAUAACGGGCCUGACUCGAAAUCAGGUAGUCUGAAAGGGCUCGUGGGUUCGAAUCCCACCGUCUCCGCCA